UACGAAAGGUGCAAGCGUUACUCGGAAUCACUGGGCGUAAAGCGCACGUAGGCGGACUCGCAGGCCAAUUGUGAAAUACCUGGGCUCAACCCGGGAACUGCAGUUGAAACCGCUUGUCUUGAAUACCUGAGAGGGUGGGGGAAUACCUGGUGGAGAAGUGAAAUUCGUAGAGAUCAGGUGGAACACCGGAGGCGAAGGCGCCUGCCUGGCAGUGUAUUGACGCUGAGGUGCGAAAGUGCGGGGAGCAAACAGG
rnacentral:rRNA from 1 species